CGCUUUUGUGCUCCAAAUCGUUGCGAAGAUGAUAACCCCUCAAUUCCCUUUCCUUUCCAUCCGAUGGUUAAUUAUCCCCUGAAUCAUGUUUGCAGCCUUGAUCGGAAGAGAAUCUAGAUGCUACGAUAGAUUCUCUAUUGAAUCUGGUGAAGCAAAUCAGGCUUGCUGGUGAUGUGGCAAGAACGAAGAAAGCUGUUCUUGACAUAGU